rnacentral:rRNA from 1 species
CCUACGGGAGGCAGCAGUGGGGAAUAUUGGGCAAUGGGCGCAAGCCUGACCCAGCAACGCCGCGUGAAGGAAGAAGGCUUUCGGGUUGUAAAAUUCUUUUGUCAGGGACGAAGCAAGUGACUGUACCUGACGAAUAAGCCACGGCUAACUAAGUGCCAGCAGCCGCGGUAAUACGUAGGUGGCAAGCGUUCUCCGGAUUUGUUGGUUGGAAAGGGCGAGUAGGUGGGCAUGCAAGUCAGAUGUGAAAAGUAUGGGCUCAACCCAUAGCCUGCAUUUGAAACUGUAAUUCUUGAGUGAUGGAGAGGCAAGCGGAAUUCCGUGUGUAGCGGUGAAAUGCGUAGAUAUACGGAGGAACACCAGUGGCGAAGGCGGAUUGCUGGAUCGUAACUGACGCUGAGGCGCGAAAGCGUGGGGAGCAAACAGGAUUAGAUACCCCUGUAGUC